GUCCACGCCGUAAAACGAUGGAUACUAGCUGUUGGGCGCAAGUUCAGUGGCUAAGCGAAAGUGAUAAGUAUCCCACCUGGGGGAGUACGUUCGCAAGAAUGAAACUCAAAGGAAUUGACGGGGGGCCCGCACAAGCGGUGGAGCAUGUGGUUUAAUUCGAUGAUACGCGAGGAACCUUACCAAGGCUUAAAUGUACAUUGACCGGUUUUGGAAACAGAUCUUUCGCAAGACAAUUUACAAGGUGCUGCAUGGUUGUCGU
rnacentral:rRNA from 1 species